UUCAAGAUAAUUAUGAAAAUCUUCACAUUUUCUACUUUAAAGAUUUUUAUUUUUUGAAAGAUACAAGUUUUUAAAAAAACUAAUUAAUAUAAUGGCAUGUUUCCUUCCCUUUUGUAGUAACAUCUUGACAAGUAAAGAGGAUAAACUUAUUUUGGUUCUUGUCAUGGAAGAUAAAAAGUCAGUAUCAUGAGCAUACUAUUUAAUGUCCCUCCAAAAGCACCUGAGAAUAGUAAUCACUUUUGUGAAGGGGAGUAGCUGAUGUCAACAGACUGUGAGGUGCAUUAUCAUACUGAAUACAAACAAGAGGACAACUUACUGAUUAACACAAGAGGCAUCCAUCUGAAAGAAACUGGGAUCCAUAAAGAGGUCAAAAGCUUCUUUUUUCCAAGCUCUCCGUGUGUACUGAUACCCACUAAGACUGCUGAGCAGCUGGACACAAGCUCGAUAACUAGGGGCAUUAUGUGCACUACAAGGAAGAAAAACCACCUUAACCUAUAUGUCCUAACUUUAAUCAUCCUAUCAAGUUAUACAUAAAUGUUCACAUUUGCCUAAGACAGUGACAUGAAAAUAUGAAAUAAAAAGCACCAUAAGAAAAAUAUUAUAUGCAUUUUUAAAAAAUAAUUAUAAUUCAAGGUAAAAAUGUCAUUUUGUAAUAAUUCUAGAAAUGGCAAUAAGGGAACAGAACUUGUUUCUAGCAGGCGAUGAAUUAAUUAAAAAAACUAUUUAAAUAAUAAUAGUACCUGUGAUUUCUGAGGUAGGGCACAACAUAAUGCAUAAUAUUUACAAGUAAAGGAAUAACCCGCUCCUUUUCAUCACUAUAGAAAACCAUAUCCAAAAGAUGAGCCAAAACCUAUAAAAACAAAAAAUGAAGAGUAACACAUGAGGUGAAACUGACGUCAUCCCAAGGUACUGAUUUUCAGUUUGUUAGAAAACCUAGACUACUUAAAAUUAGAAAAAUCUAAAAUUAAAUCUUCCUGAAUCAUUUUUAUGUUAAUAAGUUUUUCCACCAUCUGGUUUUUUGUACAUUGUUACUAUAGGAUAUAAAUACGGGCAAAUCUUGCCAUUUCCAACUGAGAUAGGGAAGUACAAAAAAGAAAAGAGUUCAAGAACCUUCUGUGACAGUGAGUAAACAGUGAAUUUAGUACUAGAAACUACAGUAUUCUUUUAUCCCUAACUCAGCUAAAAU